rnacentral:rRNA from 1 species
UACGUAGGGACCAAGCGUUGUUCGGAUUUACUGGGCGUAAAGGGCGCGUAGGCGGCUUAACAAGUCACUUGUGAAAUCUCCGGGCUUAACUCGGAACGGCCAAGUGAAACUGUCAAGCUAGAGUGCAGAAGGGGCAAUCGGAAUUCUUGGUGUAGCGGUGAAAUGCGUAGAUAUCAGGAGGAACACCGGUGGCGAAGGCGGGUCUCUGGGCCGAUACUGACGCUGAGGAGCGAAAGCGUGGGGAGCGAACAGG